CAAAACUGACUUUUAUCUUAAAAGAAUGAAAAUAAGCAACACAGUACAGUUCGUAGAUCGUGUAAAGAGAAAGCCGUGUGUUCAUUUCUAGGAUUCCUCCGUCUACCACCAAGCAAUCGGAGACAAGGCGGGCGCAGUAACACUGAAAACAUGCCAACUGUGCCUCACACAUAUUGGAUACAUGGAACUGAACUCCUCCUAAUCUCCACUUCGCAUUAUUACCAGCACCUGGGCACCGUGGUAGUCGGUUCUCCCAGACCCCAGCAGGAAAAUAAUAAGAAGGAACCUGGAGUCCGUGCACAGCAUUCAAGGACUGAACCAGCGUUGAACUAA
rnacentral:lncRNA from 1 species